rnacentral:rRNA from 1 species
UACGUAGGGAGCGAGCGUUGUCCGGAAUUACUGGGCGUAAAGGGUGCGUAGGUGGCCAAGCAAGUCAGAUGUGAAAUCCCCGGGCUUAACUCGGGGGGUGCAUUUGAAACUGCGUGGCUUGAGUGCAGGAGAGGAAAGCGGAAUUCCUAGUGUAGCGGUGAAAUGCGUAGAUAUUAGGAGGAACACCAGUGGCGAAGGCGGCUUUCUGGACUGUAACUGACACUGAGGCACGAAAGCGUGGGGAGCAAACAGGAUUAGAUACCCUGGUAGUCCACGCUGUAAACGAUGGAUACUAGGUGUGGGGGACAUACAACCUCCGUGCCGCAGCAAACGCAAUAAGUAUCCCGCCUGGGGAGUACGGCCGCAAGGCUGAA